rnacentral:piRNA from 1 species
UAGGUGGUAGCUAAGGUCAUGGGCUU